rnacentral:hammerhead_ribozyme from 1 species
ACACUACUGAGAAGUCCAACGAUAGGACGAAACGAUCGUCCAGUGU